AAGUGCGCGCCUCUAGGAGGCGGGGCGUGGGAGGCUGUGACUGGUGGAAGCGGGGCAUGGCUCCUGCUGCUAUACCCUGCGGCCCUCUCUGCUCCAGAACUGGUGUUUGGGCUCCCACGGGCGGGAGCGGCGGAGGUAACUGCUUAGCCCGAGGCUCCGCUUACCCUGCCUGCUGUGGCCCGCCGGAUUCCAAGACCUUCUUUCCAGCGUCUGGAGAAGACAACCGCAAACCGUGAUGGGUUUGCCUCAGGCUGUGUUUCAGUCGGUUGAUUUAAGCAACAACUAGAGGGUCGGGGCCAUUACUCAGACUGCUUGACCACCAUGCCUCAAGGCAAAAACGCAUGCAAAGAAGAUAAUUCUGUUUUAGCUAUGACUCCGAGAAUAUUAACUACUCUUAAAAAAGAAAAUGUGUUGGGUGUAUUUAUGUAUGUGUACCACGUGCAUGCUCAACCGCUUGUAUUUGGAGGUGUACCCUGGAAGCUUGUGGGAGGAGUGCAAGUAUUAACUGGCACAGACAGUGGUUUAUCAGGAAGUUUACGAUAGCUUUUCAUUUAAUCUCUCCAGUUGUUUGCAGUUGAUAAUUCUUCCACCUGAAACAAAUGAAAAGUUUAAAGAACUUAGUCCUUCAGAUGGUUUAUUCUGCAUAGACCCUGCUCCAAAACGAUAGAAUACAGCCUGGGCAGUGGCUUGUGCCUUGCCCCCCGCCCCAGUUAUAAGACUGCAUAUGUACACAGGGUAAUAGAAAGCAGGCACCUGCCUAAAAUAACCAUAAAGACAUGCGACUUGCCUAGCCCAGUUUCAGAAACAGCCAGUACCAGAAGGGCCAAAGAGCAUCUUUUGUUCCUCCACACUGGCACCUCCUUCUCUUUUCUGUGCCCAAGUAGUCUUGUUUCAGAGUUAUUUAUUACUUCUUUGUAGUUUCCCCAUCUAGUCACUCACCCAGGUGUAUCUGUGAAAGACUUUUGGUUUUGCUGAUAUUUUUAAGAUGUAUUGAGGUCUGAUACAAUAAACUACUUAUAUUUCCAA